GGGUUCUACCGUUGGUCGGGCUUUGUCUGUACUGGCGUGUAGAAUUUCUACCUUCUGGGGAACCAUCAUGUUAUUAAUUUAACGUGGUGGGAAACCAGGACCUUUACCUUGAAAAAAUUAGAGUGUUCAAAGCAGGCUUAUGUCUGAAUACAUUAGCAUGGAAUAAUAGAAUAGGACGGUGGUCCUGUUUUGUUGGUUUCUGAAUCACCGUA
rnacentral:rRNA from 1 species